AUGGUAGAGGUGCAUUUUGUAAUAAGUAAUUUUGGAUUAAAAGGCUAAUCGCAAAGCAAUUCCCAAAACGAAAGGUGCAGGUGCCGAAGUCGGUUUUCGGCGAAGAAACCGGGCUGGCAAAACAAAAUAAGAUUUGUUUUGUUGUCGCAUUGAUUGCGGAGAGCUAUCUU
rnacentral:ncRNA from 1 species